rnacentral:misc_RNA from 1 species
UGCUUCCGGCUUCACGCAAGACCAUCUGUAGCUGGUUUCGAACUAGCUCAGAUCGACGCCCUCUCCUCUUCUCUCCGCUCGCACAGCUUUGCCUUUCUCUCUCCAGUGUUCCUGUCGGCGCCGCUGCUCACAUCGGCGCCCGUAACAGCUUCGCAGCAGCGGCGACGUUGCGUGCAAGAUCACCGCGAUACGUUCUUCUCUCCCAUUAGGUGUACGCUCGCACACAUACACCGGCGGACGGAGCACGACAGCGAUACAGAGAAGUGAAGGCAUCGCAGGCCCCACGUCCACCCCUCCCCCCGCACGCGGAUUGAAGAGGCAGCACAGCAAGAACGACGACUCGAAAAGAAGGGGGUCGGUGGUGCUGCGGUACCGUUGCUCCCGCCUGCCCACACACGCGCAGACUGAGGUGGGGAGGGGGGGGCGCUACUCUCUCUCUCUCUUCCCUCUCCACACCAUUCUUCGCGCAGUUGCGUAGCGCGGAGAGGACGAGGAGAAAGAGGGGCAGCGUGUGCGUUUUGCUUUCGCUGCUGCUGGUGCUGCGGCUGCGGAUGCCGUCGUUGUCGUGGUGACUUGCUAUCAAUCUCAUUUUCCCAUUACUUCUGUCGCUUGGGCUCUCCCCUCUCCUCCACCAUCACCAUCAUCACCCUUCGUGUCGUUGUUGUUUUGGAGGGAAGGGGGCAGUGCGUUCUUUGUUCGUCUUCUUCCUCCCUCCCUCCCUCCCUCCCCCCUCGUGUUUCCUUUCUUCGCUCGUGUGUUUCGCGCUGGACGUGCGUCGUGCAGGACGAGAGAUGUGCGUGGCAACGGCAGCAUCUCGCUGUAACCUCUGAUUCUUUGUUUCCUCGGCACAUCCACGUCCCACAUCCACGUCCACAUCCACUCUCAGUCUCUGUCCUUCCCUCUCUAUUUCUUUGCUCUGCUUGAGCUCUCCGUUGUUGUUUCGCUCGUUUCACGCUCGGACGUGCUACCCCCUCCCCCUCCUCUCUUCUUCCCCUCCUUUUCUCUGUCUCUCUCCUCCCUCCCUUCCUCCAAGCGUGCCUGCACAUCUCGCUGCUGCUGCUACGACGGUUGCGGCGAGUCGGUGCUGGCCGUGUCGACGGAAUAGGUGCGGAGCUCGCCUACUGACAUUCUCUCUUCCUUUCUGUCGCUCUUCCCUCCCUCCCUCCCUUCUCCAUCCGUGCACAAGCAUUGUUCCCUUAUCCUGUGUGUAUGUGUGUUGGCUAGUUUUCAAGUGUCCUUCUCGGCCGUCUGUCCUUCCCAUCGUCUUCCUCCCAGCGUGCACUCCACCGAGUUCCGAUGCAGUCGCCACAACUGAUGAACCGGGCCGCGUCAUCAGCACUGGUACCCGCACUGGACAUGAACGCGCCAGGCAACGGCACUGUGUAUGUCAGCGGCAGUAUGAGCCACGAGCGUCGCCGCAACAUCGCUCCGGACGAGGUGUGUCCGCCAGACACAAUGCUGCGCACGCCACCGCCGACGGCGCGUAACUCCAUGGACGCGGUGUGUGUCGCGGCGCACGCGUCGAGCGAACCUCGGUGUGUCAAGCCUGGCCGCUUGAGUCUCGCCUCCGAGGGCGCUGGCGCAGCUGCCACCAAGCGGCUUCCCCCGCUGGCCGGACUGCUUGCCGCUGCGAAGGGCCCUGCGACAACGCGAGCGAACACCACUAUAUCACGGAGCGCACGGAUUUCACUCGGGUGCAGCCCAGCCACGUCGCCGGCAGCGUCGGCGUCUGUGCGAGACAUGGAGGGCAUGCAAGAGGCCUUGAAGAAGUUCAACGCUCGGGUGCUGGAGGAGAAUGAGAAAGAGAAGGCCCGCAACAGUCGCCGUAGCAGCUGCGCCGCCUCGCGGGAGUCGUCCAUAGUCACGCUACCCGUUGACCAUCCCACAUUGUCGGCGGCCUCCGAGUCACUGCCUAAGUCCAACCCGCUGCAGGCCUCACCCAACAAAGACAAGAAUAAAAGCAGCAGCAGCAGCAGCAGCAGCAGCAGCGGCACGGCCCCGAAGACGUCCAUGAGCAUGGUAUCGUCGGCACCGCGCGUGACGAUGGUGCCGCGGAUUUCACCGCAGUUCUCGCCGCCUCGCAGCAGCACCAACAGCAGCCACUCACCCCUUUCGGCAGCUGCCAACUCUUCGGAGGACGGCAACACUCGUCACCCGGAGGCCUCGCCGCACCUCUUAGCCCAAGAUCCGCACCGCGGGCUGCCGCGCACCGUGCAGCCGGAGCAGCAGCAACUCAGGCCUCUCCGUUCCUUGCCGGCGGGCGCGUUGCAGAGCCAGAUAGGGUCAUCCUCAACCUCGCCGUCGGACGACGUGAGCACGCCGCCCAUCAUCGCCACGCCGCGAUCGGCCAAGAUAGUGGUUGGUAAACCGCAGAUCGCAGCGUUCAAGUUACCACCGUCUCCACGCGCCCCGUCGCCGACUAUGCCGAGCCUCCCAGACCGUUACGCACAAGGCAGCGGCGCAGGCGCACAUAGCAACGCGCGGUCCGCUGCGGGGAGGCCACAGAAAGGGCUGACGCCCUCGAUAUCCCCGCCGCUGGCGGUGGAUCCAGUGUACUCGGCCGUUGAGAUACAAGAGAGCUCAUCGGUGUCGACGGGCUCAUCCGGUGGUCGCUGGGGCCUCUUGAGCGACAGCAAGCGCCCCUAUACCAGCAGCAGCAACAGUUGGCAAGCGACGGCCGACAAGACCACCGUCAACGCCACGUCCGGCUUCAGCGGCGCCGCGGCCUCGCACCCGGUGCGCCAGCCGACGCUGCCCGGACUCCGCAAGAACCAGAACACGGAUGAGUUCGGCAACGUCGGCGAGGAAGCCCCUGCUCCGGAGACACACGCCAAGCCGUCGUACAAUGACGACGCAUCAAGCGGAUGCCCGCCGGGGUCGCCAAGCUGCUCCAGCAAUCUCCACGACGGUGGGCCGCAUCGCCUGUCACACGCCAGCACCAUCGGAGCUGGCGACAACUCCCCACACACGGCGCUGCGUGUCUUCAGCUCUACCGAUGAGCAGCCUGGAAAUAGCAGCCCGAACGGUGCGGCAGCCAAGGAGGCGGCGGCCACCACCGCCGCAACUGCGAAGCCAGCGAAACCCAUCAACAGCGGUCCCGCUGCGGGGCAAAGCCCACCCGGCGCGGCCCCAGUGAAGACCUCGCCGUUGGAUAAUGGCAAUAGUCGUGGUGGCUCGGCCCAGUGCCCGGACUCUGCGCUGAACCACAACGGUCGCUACUCACCGGCGCGUGUCAACUCGAGCGCAACGACGGCCGCCGGACGUAAUGCGAAUGGGCAGAACCGAUCCUCCGCGGACAGCGCGGUCCUGGACAUCGACGCGGAGACAGCUGCGCUCAACUCGUACUUGAAGGAGGAGGACUUGAACCUGUCCAUGUCCACGUUCACCAGCAUCGGUUCAAUUCUCGCCCAGUCGCUGACGCUGCGCGUGCUGAAUCUGAAAGGUAGCACCAUCCCCAGCGAGGGGCUGCGCGGGCUGGCAGAUAUUCCAACGCUCAAGUUGAUCUGCGUAUCACACAUGCGCUGCUUGACAACGCUGGUGCCACUCGUGACGCCGACAACGAGGUCGAACGGCCGGCCCUGCGGGAUCGAGGAGAUCGACGCGCAGUUCUCACCUCUGGAAAACGAGGGUGUUUGGGGUUUGGAGAAGCUGCGGCGGCUGCGCCGACUUGACUUGGGCAUGACCCCGAUUAGCGAUGUAACGUGCCUCUCCGCCAGCCGCUCUCUAAACGACCUCUACCUCAACGGCACACGCGUGGACAGCCAAGGCCUCGCCGGGCUGGAGCGGGUGUCGACGCUGACGCUGCUGAACGUUGCGCGCACCAAGGUGACAUCGCUGAAACAGAUUGCCAAAUCGCGCUCCAUCCAGACACUCAUCGCGUACAGCUGCCACAUCACGGACGACGGGCUCCUUGGCGUCAGCGAGAUGCCGCGACUCAGCACACUCGAUGUGAGCACCACGAAGGUCGCAAACUUGUCCGUGCUGCAGAAGAGCCGCUCUCUCAAGUGGCUGCGCGCCCAGUGGCUCGGCCUCAAGAAUUGCCACGACAUUAUACAGCAGCGGCGGGCGCAGAUGGACGGUGUAACGCCUGACAGUUCCGUGGCUUGGCGCGACACCGAGGCGGGCUUUUCGGGACUCGCCAGCAUUCCGACUCUCGAGUCGAUCGACAUGUCCUUCAACACAAUCCGCAGCUUUCACUCGCUCUGCAACAGCAAAUCACUCAAGCACCUUAUUUUGCGCCGCACGCGCGUCGACAACAGCGGCAUCGGCAGCAUCGCUCAGCUCGCCGGAACCCUCGAGACGCUCGUCAUCACCAAUCUGACUGACAUCCUGGACGACAGCGACAACGAGGAGGCCAACGGUCCGUCGAACGCGGCGAGCGGGCUGCUCAGCAUCAUUGGCGACAUCCCUACGCUGCGUCGCCUCACCUCCCUUGACCUCUCCUUCACAGAUGUCUAUGACCUGCGCCUCCUGCAGGAGCUGCGAGUGCUCCGCGAGCUCAUUAUCGUCGAGACGCUCGUCACUGUUGACGGUCUGCGCGGUAUCGAGAAGAUUCCUACGCUGGAGACGGUGGACAUCUCACAGACGAGCAUCGUAUCGCUACAGUUCCUUGUCGGCGGCGCCCCGUCCCUCAAGAAGAUCCUUGUCAAAUCGAACCGCAACGUGUGCGGCUUCAACCUCGGCCGCAUCGAUCAGCUGCGCGCGCUGCAGCACCUCGACGUCAGCGACACUAUCGUGGAGGAUAUCGAGUCACUGCUGCAGUCAAAGUGGCGACUCCAGACGCUCGUCUGGCGGUGGAAGGAGCGGCGCGACAGCAAGGGGCCGGCGCCGGCGCUAGAGUGCCGCGUGACGUCUCCACGCCUGGUGGGCGUGAACACAAUGCCGUGCUUGACGACGCUUGACCUGACGAACAGUUCCGUGCAAGACCUCGCCUUUCUCGAACGAUCCGCGUCGCUCACGACGCUGUACCUCAAGUGUUGUCGGCUUCUGCGCAACAGCACCAUUAAAUCCCUGGGCACGUUGCCAGCACUCGAAGUGCUCGAGCUGAGCGACAACCGCCACAUUUCAGACGUGACGUGCCUGCGCACCUGCCGUCGUCUGCGAGAGUUGCGCCUCAACCACACAUACGUCACAAAGGCGGGGCUGAAAGGAGUGACCGACCUGCCGGAGCUGAAGGUGCUGGACAUCGCAAAUACGCGCGCCGAGGACGACGUCAAGGACGAGGACGUCAACGGCGCGGUGGAACGCAGCCGCCUGCUAGAAGACUCGAACGUGCGCGAGGGGAGCACGCUGCUGGACAGCUCUGUGGCUCCGGCCCAGUUUCGCGUGCCCCGACGGCGUCGCGUCUCCUUCAUCGCCAACGAUGGCGGCGAGGGCCUUUCACACAAAACGGACCGGCACGAGUAGAUACCCCUGGUCCUUGUGCGCGGAGGGGUGGGGGACGGGCAUUGGCGGUGUCACGGGAAUACCCCCACCCCGCCGUCGCCGCUGCCAUGCGUGCGUGUGUCUGUAUUUGCGUACUUGUGCGCGCGUCUGUUUCUCCAAUGUCCCAGGGACUGCUGUAGCUCGUUAGCCAGUCGUCUCCACCCGACUUGUGUAGAGCACUCGAAGAGAACAGCGGGUGGGAGACGCUGCGUAACAGGAACAGCAAGGCCUGGGAAGGGGUCUGUAACCGCGGCCGUAACGACUUGCUGAAUGUAAGCAUGUAGAUAGGGAGAGAGGUGUCCUUCACACACAUACGCGCGCGCGCACACACACAGCGAUUCUUUGAACGUCUGCUUGUAUCGUGGCCUCUUAAAUGAGGCAUGUAUAUGUCUGCAUACGUCUGUGUCUGUGUCUGUGUGUGUGUGUUCGUGUGCGUGUUGUUUUCCACGCCCCCACCCUCUGCUUUCUCUUAUUCCGGGAGUCGGCAUGCUCCCUCUCCCUCGGUGCGUGUGUGUGCGCGCGCGAAGCGGCGAAGAAGGAGCCAGGGGCGAGGGACGUCUUUGCAGGUGAGUUAUCGCUGCACCUGACUGCCUCCCUCUCCCCUCUUAUCUUCUUCGACCAGAAUGUUUUCCGCAUCAUCCGUGUAUGUGUAUGUGUGCGUGGCUGGCUGGCUCCACCAUCCCUCGGUGGAUCUCUCUCCCACCCCACCCCCUUUGUUUUCCCCACACGUCUAUUGAUCGCAUGACGACAGACGGCGCCCUUUUCCUCCUCUCACUCAACUCUUGCUUGCAUCUCUCCUCCUCUCCCUCAUCCGUUGUGCAAUGUGCGCCGGGGGGGGGGGGGGUCUGCGUGUCUGUAUGGAUGUUGCGGCUACCGCUGCUGCUGUUGCUGCUACGCUUCCCUCCCACCCACCCUCCACUCUCUGGGUUGGGCAUGCCGCACGUUACCCCCACCAAGUCCCUCUCUUUGUCUCUUCCUCUUGCAUGGGGAUGGAGAUGGGUGGGGGUGAGAGCGCACGCGUGGCGGUGGCGAUGAUGUGUGCGCGUGUGUCUAUGCCGAACGAUAUAUGCCUUGAGCACCCCUCCGUCUCCUCCUCGACCUCGUCUCCCUUCCAG